UACGGAGGGUGCGAGCGUUGUCCGGAAUCACUGGGCGUAAAGGGCGCGUAGGCGGCGCGGAUAGUCGGCGGUGAAAGCCCGGAGCUCAACUCCGGGUCGGCCGUCGAUACUUCCGGGCUUGAGCACUGUAGAGGCAGAUGGAAUUCCGGGUGUAGCGGUGGAAUGCGUAGAGAUCCGGAAGAACACCGGUGGCGAAGGCGGUCUGCUGGGCAGUUGCUGACGCUGAGACGCGAAAGCGUGGGGAGCAAACAGG
rnacentral:rRNA from 1 species